GUAUCCAGCACAUAUACUAAAACUGGAAUGAAACAGAGAAGAUUAGCAUAGCCCCUGCACAAGGUGACACACACAGAAAAAAGAAAUUAGAGGGCACC
rnacentral:snRNA from 1 species